UCCGGCUUUCACCGGCUGUCUCGUUAGAGUGCCCAACUGAAUGCUGGCAACUAAUGAUAAGGGUUGCGCUCGUUGCGGGACUGAACCCAACAUCUCACGACACGAGCUGACGACAACCAUGCACCACCUGUCUCCGCUGUCCCGUAGGAAACGCAUAUCUCUACGCGCGUCAGCGGGAUGUCAAGCCCUGGUAAGGUUCUUCGCGUUGCUUCGAAUUAAACCACAUGCUCCACCGCUUGUGCGGGCCCCCGUCAAUUCCUUUGAGUUUCAGCCUUGCGGCCGUACUCCCCAGGCGGAGUGCUUAAUGUGUUAACUUCGGCACUGAGGGUGGAGACCCCCAACACCUAGCACUCAUCGUUUACAGCGUGGACUAC
rnacentral:misc_RNA from 1 species